rnacentral:rRNA from 1 species
UACAGAGGGCGCGAGCGUUGUCCGGAAUCACUGGGCGUAAAGGGCGCGUAGGUGGCCACCAUAAGGCCGCGGUGAAAGUUCGGGGCUCAACCCCGGAUCGGCCGCGGCGACUGUGGGGCUCGGGUACUGUAGAGGCAGAUGGAAUUCCGGGUGUAGCGGUGGAAUGCGUAGAGAUCCGGAAGAACACCAGUGGCGAAGGCGGUCUGCUGGGCGAGUGGGAUCGAAAGGUCCCUUCAACCGACACUG